AUAAGAGGCCCAGGAGCUGGUCUGGCCAUCACAACACCGGGCGAGGGAUCACACGGCACCGUUCACUUCCAACACUCAAACGCAGGUGGUUCAAAAUGGCACCCAGCUGUACGCUCUUGGUGUUAUCUGUGGUGCUGGUGGCGUCCUGGGCAGCCGCUGCUGACGACGAUGGAAAUCCCUCUCCUGGUGGGAAUGGCGUCGUGGGGGAUGCCAAAAAUUCCAACAUGAAGUCCCAUCACCACCGCUUUCGUAGCCACCACGAACGCCGUAACAGAAAUCACCCCGACCGACACAUCCGAAGAGCCUCUGACGAUGGGGAGAGGCUACCCCUGUCCGCUGUGAGCCAACUUAAUAACUAAACAAUGUAUUCUGUAGCUACUGUAUCAUUCCCAAGCCCUGGAGAACUUGCGGUACGACACGCUGACCAAUACCGCCGUCUUGAACGCCAUGGACCAAAAUUCGUUGUUCAAGUUUGGCAGCUGUGUCCACUGAGUAGGCUGCCGCUAGGCUUGUGGCAGCAUCUUCGCCGAUGAUCUCUCCAACAACCUAACUCAUAAGAACAGCAGACCUACAGAGCACCCGAGACAUGCCACGCAACACCAACAUAGUUAUUAUGAAAGUGUUGUUAGAUUAUAACUAACUAAACAUUUACACUGACAUAAAGUAUAAAUUAUUAAGGAUAUGUUACGGGGAAAAUGAUUCGCCAAAACCUCCUCUUCUUGUUAUAGCACGUCGCAUUUUGACGUAUACUUAAGGCCAAACACUAAUGUACAAGAAUAUGGUAGCGGCUGGCGAAUUUGACAAUGUCCCGUUUUCUGUUCGUGGGUCCUCUGGUUGGUUAGGUUAGGGCAUUUUAGUACCGCAGUUUCUUGAUAUUGGGAACACUGGCGAGAACGGACCACGUCAACAGCGCUCAGUGACAUGGAUGAGUCGUCUGGUGUCCGGAUAUCAGUUGAAACCCCAUAUUAUUUCCAUGAAGUUACCUGGAAGUCACCAUCUAUAAUGGCUUCGGCGGGAACAGCAAACUGGCGGCCUGCCAAACCUCUCCCAUUAUUAUUAUAUUCUCGUCUGGUAUUACCAAAUAUAUUGUUAAUACAAGCAUUUAAUGCUUAUUUUUACAUUGUUAGCACGAUUAUAUAUAUUUAUAUAUAUCUUAAACAAAAUGCUGAAAAUCGGAAA